rnacentral:lncRNA from 1 species
AGAGACAAUCAUUUGUUAAUUGUUCCCGUACUUAUCAUACUACAUAUAUAAAACCCCACAAAAAAUAUCAUAUUUAUAUCGUCAAGUCUUGAGCUAUAGCCUAUAUGUACUUUGAAUUUUCUUUGCUUAUACAUAGACACUUUAAUGCUAUUUAUGUAGAAGGACCAAUUUUUUCAGGCAUCUUUAUGAGGACCUCUUUUUGAGAGCCAUGAUUGAUUUGUAUUUGUUAUUUUUUUAUACUAGAGGAUCUCUCAAGCUAACUCCAUAUAUACAUGUGGUCCAUUAACCGGUGAGACUUGUGAAUGGGUUCGAGCUCU